AAGUCGUAACAAGGUUUUCGUAGGUGAACCUGCGGAAGGAUCAUUAACGAGUUAAUUGCAUUUUGCAAUAAUUCAUUUCAAACACUUGUGAACGUUUAUAAACAUUUGCUUUGGCUGAGCGCUACGCUUGGCCAAAAGUUUUUAUUAAAACCAUUUAAUUUUAACCUAUGAAAUCUGAAUUGAUAAAAAUUUUAAUUUAAUUAAAACUUUCAACAACGGAUCUCUUGGUUCUC
rnacentral:misc_RNA from 1 species